GAUGAAGAACGUAGCGAAAUGCGAUAAGUAAUGUGAAUUGCAGAAUUCAGUGAAUCAUCGAAUCUUUGAACGCACAUUGCGCCCGCCAGUAUUCUGGCGGGCAUGCCUGUUCGAGCGUCAUUUCAACCAUCAAGCCCCCGGCUUGUGUUGGGGACCUGCGGCUGCCGCAGGCCCUGAAAACCAGUGGCGGGCUCGCUGUCACACCGGGCGUAGUAGAUUUUAUCUCGCUCAGGGCGUGCUGCGGGUUCCGGCCGUUAAAAAGCCUUUUUUACCCAAGGUUGACCUCGGAUCAGGUAGGAAGACCCGCUGAACUUAAGCAUAUCAAUAAGCGGAGGA
rnacentral:misc_RNA from 1 species